ensembl:lincRNA
AUGACAUCUUACUGGACGCCCACUUCGUAUGACCACCUUAUCACCAAGAUGUCUCAUCCCGUGGUCCUUGACCCUAUCUUUAUUCUGGAAUUCACACUUCUUCUAAUGCCCGUCACGAUGGAGACUUCCUAUGUAUGGGCCCGAUAUUGUUACUAUCGUUUCUUUGUGUAUGGAAAGAGGAAGAAGGAGAAGGAAAUAAGGAAGGAAGAGAGACUUGUAAAACCCAGUUCUGGUGAUUUGGAAGUUCAAGAUCAAGUUUUGGGCCUUCAUACUGCAUCUUUAAAUCAGAGAAAACAGAGGAGGAAAAGAGGCCAAAAGCUAGUUGAAGCUACCUAUUGAAGAUCACCUUUUAAUAAUAUCAAAUUGGCAACAACUAAAUUUUAGAGGAAAAACAUUUAAACCAUAACAGUUAUCAAUAUUCAGAUAGCAUUAAGGCCAUGAGAUUGAGUGAGAUCACGUAAAAGAUAAGCAUAUAUAAAGAAGAAAAGACAUUUGAAGACCAAGCUCUGGGUACUUCUGCAUAUAUAGGUCAGCUGAUGAGAAGAAAACAACAGCAUAUUCAGGAUGUGCCCAGUGCAUCAAAGAAGAAUCAAAAGGUAGUGAUAUCCCAGAACCAAGAGGAAGCAGAUGUUCCAAUGUUAAACAUAAGACCACAUUUCUGGGGGUAUAGCUCAGUGCUAGAGUACUUGCCUAAAAUUUGCAAGGCUAGCUACAAUUCCUCAGUACUUAAAAAAAGGAGCUAUGACCAUAGAAUUUGAUAUUUAAUGUAAAGGAGGCCUACAGUAUUACAAGAGAAGAUGUCAAGAAACCAGAAUAUUAGAAAGACUGUCUUUAAAAAGAAGAAGAAAUAAAGACUGUCUUUGUGGAUAUUGAAAUACUAAAAAUAUUCACAUAAAUUAUAUUCUUAAAAGUGACAGGGAGGCAACUGUGAUAACUUUGAAGCAAGUGAUACCAGAGGUCAACAGAUGCUAACUAUAGUGCAGUGGCACCAGAUUCCAGGUCAACAACUGACAGCCCUAACUUAGGACAGUUUGACCUUAAUUUUUUUUUACUUUACUAUAGGGUGAAAGUGAUGCACAUGCAGCAGAAUAUUUACCUUGAAUGUGGACUACUGAUCUUGUCCUAGGCUAGCAUCCCAUGAUGUGGGCAGUGGCAUCGAGCCGCAGCCACAUGAUCACAGAGGGAAACAAUCAGCCAUACAGGGCACUGUGUUGCUGAGCUAUGGUGUGUUAAAUGCAUUUUUGAUGUGUGGUAUUUUCAAUUUAAGAUGGAUUUAUCAGGACAUAGCCCCAUCAUAAGUCAAGGAGCAUCUAUAAUUGUGAACACUUUGGAUGUUGGUAACAUUAGGUUGGCCAUAUGAAAAUGACAUUCAAAUACUUUUUGCCUCAAAAAAUGCCAAUUCCAUUAUUUGAUCUAAUAUAACUGAAUAUAUGUAAAAUAUGUUUGAACUGGAGUUACAUCCAUAAGUACGGAUGUAUGUUAUAUCCCUUGUAGAUGCAAAAUCCCUGAGAUCUGGAGUUACUGUGUGACUGCAUAUGUACCUUUCACAGCACCUAGUGGUCUGCUUUGUAUUUAAUAGUCAUUUAGUAUUUUUGUACAUAUAUCAUUGCUAUUGUUGGCUUAUUCUUUUAUUUCAGGGUGCUCAUCAUAUUCUUCACCUUUCCGAGUUGAGAAACAAAUAUACACAGGCAUUAGAAGUGGUUCAUUAUCAACACUGUUGCUGAUUAUGUUGAAAUAGGGUAAACAGCUUGGACCCAAGGUCAAAAUGGGAUUCUAAUUCAUCAUCCUCUGGAAUUAAUCUGUGCAGGUGCAAAGUAUAUCCAAGAGGCACAGACAAUUUCUGACAUGAGGGAAAAUGCUGUAAAGUGAGGGCAAGUUGGAGAGGGAUGGGAUAACACCUGCACCACUGAUAGCUAGGAAUGAAAAUACAGAAGGCUCUAUUCCCUGACCACCUGUUCUCUGUGUCUCCCAAAGCUUCCUUUUCAGAAUUCUUUCUUCAUAAUUUUCACAUUAACACACUGUUUUUCAAAUGUACAGGAAACUAACAGUUUUGUAAGAAGAGGUCAAUGGCAGCAACUGCUUCUGCUUCCAUUUUGUCACCCAGGGGUAGCUGCAGUGAGCCUACCAAUGCAGCAGGCAGAUAUGAAUGAAAGAGUCAUGAGAGACCAGGCCACACGUGUUGUAAACCUUUCAGCUAUUUACCAAUUAGAUAAGUCAUUCCUGUUCUAGGAAGACAUAAAUGGAAGGGACUGGAGAGAAAGGUGAAGUUUUUUGCCCAAAUCAUCUCACAGGUUUUGUGAAGCCUGAAGCUUAUACAAGUUGGAUGGUAUUCUUCAAAGAAUACAAAAUUAUAAGUGUAAAAUCUGGUAGAAGGCUAGCAAGGGUCCUGAACAAGUAAAGGUACUGGAAUUCAAGCUUCAUAGCUUAAUGGUGCAUCCUCCUCUGCUAUAGCAAGGGAAGAAUUACCUAUUUUUAGGAACCUAGUUUUAGAUUUACCAGUGUAUGUCAGUUAGGAUGCUCUCCAACACAAUAAUUAAACUUGCAAGCAAAGCCACUUGAACUGGAUUCAAUAAUACGGAAGAGUAGGGGCUCAUGUAAAUGAAAAGUUCAGUUGCUGGACAGGCUCUGUGGUUGGUGGAUCUAGCUAUCUUAACAAUGUUAUCAAUGACCCAGUUUAUUUCAAUCUUUCAACUGCACUGUCCAUGGUAUCUAUUUCAUCUUAGGCGGCUCCCUUCAAGAUUAUGGCAUGAAUAACAAGCAGCAGUGGGGACUACUAACUUCCUCUUUCCUAUUAGAAGAGAGAGGAAAAUUGCCUAAAUUACUGAGCAAUAAUCUUUAGCUUCAAAUCCCAGCUUGUUUCAUUCAAGCAUCUGAUUCACUAAGGCCUAAACCAAGCACUAUGGUAAGAGGGAUAAAGUAACUUUAAAUUUCCUACACUAAUCAGGGCCUGCCCCCAGUGACAAGGAUAUGUCUCAUUCAAGAAAUGUAGCUGCCACAUAAUGGAGUGGAAUUGAGUUUGAUGAAACAUCCACAAUACAAAAAUUAACCAAAGGGUAGAAUCUGGACUAAUGAACUAAAUAUAUCAAAAGUUUUCAAAAUAUUCAUUUGAUUUAUGCUACUGACCAAGCACCUACAUUAAAUGCUCUUUUUUUGUUCUUUUUUAGUGAACCCAGAGCCUUGGGCAUGCUAAACAUAUGAUCUAUCACGGAGCUAUACUUUCAGUCCAAGUACUAAACAUUUAUUAAGAGAAUAAAUGAAUUUGUUGCCAAGAGA